GAUGAACGCUGGCGGCGUGCUUAACACAUGCAAGUCGAACGGAAAGGCCCAAGCUUGCUUGGGUACUCGAGUGGCGAACGGGUGAGUAACACGUGGGUGAUCUGCCCUGCACUUCGGGAUAAGCCUGGGAAACUGGGUCUAAUACCGGAUAGGACGAUGGUUUGGAUGCCAUUGUGGAAAGUUUUUUCGGUGUGGGAUGAGCUCGCGGCCUAUCAGCUUGUUGGUGGGGUAAUGGCCUACCAAGGCGUCGACGGGUAGCCGGCCUGAGAGGGUGUACGGCCACAUUGGGACUGAGAGACGGCCCAGACUCCUACGGGAGGCAGCAGUGGGGAAUAUUGCACAAUGGGCGCAAGCCUGAUGCAGCGACGCCGCGUGGGGGAUGACGGCCUUCGGGGUGUAAACUCCUUUCGCUAGGGACGAAGCGUUUUUGUGACGGUACCUGGAGAAGAAGCACCGGCUAACUACGUG
rnacentral:rRNA from 1 species